rnacentral:rRNA from 1 species
GAUGAACGCUGGCGGCGUGCCUAAUACAUGCGAGUCGAGCGAACAGACGCUGCGCUUGCUCCUCUCACGUUAGCCGCGCACGUGUGAGUCACACGUGUAUACCCUCCCUAUCAGACUGGGAUAACUUCGGGACACCGGCGCUAAUCCCGUAUAAUCUCUUGAACCGCAUGGUUCAUUAGUGAAAUUCGGUUUUUCUGUCACUUCUCGCUGGUUCCGCGCCGCCGUGGCUAGUUGGUAAGGUAAAGGCCUUUCACGGCGACGCUGCGUUGCCGACUUGAGAGGGGGAUAGGCCACACUGGAACGGAGACACGGUCCAGACUACUGAGGGAGGCAGCAGUAGGGAAUCGUCGGCAAUGGGCGAAAGCCUGACGGAGUAACGCCGCGUGAGUGAUGAAAGUCUUCGGAGCGUAAAGAUCUGUUAUGAGGGAAGAACAAAUGUGGAAGUAACUAUGCACGGCUUGACGGUACCGAAUAAGAAAGCAACGGCUAACUACGUG